UGGGGAAUAUUGGACAAUGGGCGAAAGCCUGAUCCAGCCAUGCCGCGUGAGUGACGAAGGCCUUAGGGUUGUAAAACUCUUUCGUCGGGGACGAUAAUGACGGGUACCCGAAGAAGAAGCUCCGGCUAACUUCGUGCCAGCAGCCGCGGUAAUACGAAGGGAGCUAGCGUUGUUCGGAAUCACUGGGCGUAAAGCGCACGUAGGCGGAUAGUUAAGUCAGGGGUGAAAUCCUGGGGCUCAACCCCAGAACUGCCUUUGAUACUGGCUGUCUCGAGGUCGAGAGAGGUUGGUGGAAUUCCUAGUGUAGAGGUGAAAUUCGUAGAUAUUAGGAAGAACACCAGUGGCGAAGGCGGCCAACUGGCUCGAUACUGACGCUGAGGUGCGAAAGCGUGGGAGCAAACAGGAUUAGAUACCCGUGUAGUCCCUGAGCGGGCUGGCAAGGCGCAU
rnacentral:rRNA from 1 species